rnacentral:rRNA from 1 species
UGGGGAAUAUUGGACAAUGGGCGCAAGCCUGAUCCAGCCAUGCCGCGUGAGUGAUGAAGGCCCUAGGGUUGUAAAGCUCUUUCAACGGUGAAGAUAAUGACGGUAACCGUAGAAGAAGCCCCGGCUAACUUCGUGCCAGCAGCCGCGGUAAUACGAAGGGGGCUAGCGUUGUUCGGAUUUACUGGGCGUAAAGCGCGCGUAGGCGGCUUGGAUAGUUGGGAGUGAAAGCCCGGGGCUCAACCCCGGAACUGCUCUCAAAACUUCCAAGCUAGAGAUCUGGAGAGGAGGGUGGAAUUCCAAGUGUAGAGGUGAAAUUCGUAGAUAUUUGGAAGAACACCAGUGGCGAAGGCGACUCUCUGGCCAGAUACUGACGCUGAGGUGCGAAAGCGUGGGGAGCAAACAGGAUUAGAUACCCCCGUAGUCC